AUUGCUUUCCAGUAUUGCUAGUUUCAAUUACUAUAAAUGGCUGAGCAAGCGCUUGUGAAAGCACAUCUUCAAGAUGAUGUCGUUUACGAUAAUUCUUGGGGUGGUUGCUGGGACGGCAGUGGCCAUGCCGACGAAAGGGGUAGAGUGUUUGAGAGAGGGCAGGUACCCCACUCCAAAUACAUGUGAUGGUUUUUUCGACUGCAUACCUGAUGGUACUGGGGGCUAUGAAGUGUCAUUUGAUGACUGUAAUGGAUUUGUCUACAAUACCACCUCCAGGACGUGCAACGGUGAAAUGCAAUGUCGCUCCCGAAGUGAGCGCAGUGUUACUACAGCAUAUCCCAAGUACUCCUACUUGUGUGAAGGUCAGCCUGAUGGCUUCGUGUGUGCUGACUGCAGGACCAUGGUCAUGUGUGUAAAAGGGCAGGCCUUUGUCCGCCAGUGCACCAGCACAAGAUCCUGCAGUAUUAAGACUACCUAUGGAGGUGCAGUAUGCUACCCAGGGCUUCCAGCUAUAUGUACCUGCCAGAGUGGAGACGCGUUUGUCCGUGAUCUCUAUGACCCACAGAAGUUCUUUAGCUGCUCCUCCACUGGAUCCAGCCCUGAGGAUCACGUGUGCCCUGAUGGUAUGGUGUUUGAUGAGACCCUUAAUCAGUGUCGCAACCAAGCCAGCCUUCCAGCUUGUGAACGGCCUGGUGUCUUUGCAAAGCUCGAAGACUGCACUGAAUAUUACUCUUGCAUCUCGCUUCAACAUGGGUGGCUGCAGAGACUGUUCAUGUGCCCCAGUGGAACGCUGUUCAACGAGGUAACAGGAGCUUGUGAAGAUCCUUGCUCACGAGCAAUGUGUGCUAUGAGGAAGGCGGGUUUCCCCAGAUCCCCUCGACCGCCGCAGCUACUAUGAAUGCCUGAUUAUUGGUGGCCUAAUGAAGCGUGCCCGCUACCAGUGCCCCCAUGGUUAUGUGUGGAAAGCUGAUGAUGCUGGUGAUGGGGGAGCAUGUGUGGAAGACCAUGAAAUGAAUUUGCAUGACUACUUCACCCGCUGUAGCAUUCCCCAGGGCAUGUGUCCUGACGAGACUACAGACCCAUGCCUGGCAAAUAACGGUGGUUGCCAUGGUAAUGCAGAUUGUGCAACUAUUAAUGGCGGUGUGAGUUGCACUUGCAAGGCAGGUUACAGUGGUGAUGGAUAUUCGUGUACAGAUGUUGAUGAAUGUGCCGGUGCCAACGGCGGCUGUUCUGCAAUGGCUAGCUGCACGAAUACUGACGGCAGUUACCGGUGCGAGUGUUUAGCAGGGUACACUGGUGAUGGCUUUGCCUGCCAAGAUAUCGAUGAAUGCUUGGUUCCAACGGUGGCUGUGUACAAAUGCCUUGUGUAGCAAUACUCCAGGCAGCCGAGACUGUACUUGUGCAUCAGGUUACACUGGGGAUGGCUUUACUUGCUCUGAUAUCGAUGAGUGCCUUGUUACAAUGGAGGCUGUGAUGCAAAUGCAGGUGUCAAACACAGCUGGUUCAAGAACCUGCACAUGUCUCCCAGGCUUCUCUGGGAAUGGUGUUACUUGCUCUGAUGUGGACGAGUUGUUUGGUUGCCAACGGUGUUGUGAUGCAAUGCCCUGUGUAGCAAUACUCCAGGCAGCCGUGACUGCACCUGCACAUCAGGGUUCACUGGGAAUGGCCUAGUUUGCACAGACGUGGACGAGUGUCUGGUAGCUAAUGGAGGGUGCCAUGCAAAUGCAGACUGUACAAAUGAUGUUGGUGGCAGAACUUGCACCUGUCAUCCUGGUUACACGGUGAUGGACUUCAAUGUACUGAUGUGGACGAGUGCUUGGUUGCCAACGGUGGUUGUGAUGCAAAUGCCCUGUGUAGCAAUACUCCAGGCAGCCGUGACUGCACCUGCACAUCAGGGUUCACUGGGAAUGGCCUAGCUUGCACAGAUGUGGACGAGUGUCUGGUGGCUAAUGGUGGGUGCCAUGCUAAUGCUCAGUGCACCAAUACUGCUGGUAGCAGAACCUGCUCUUGCCUUGCUGGCUAUACUGGUGAUGGACAAGUGUGCACACUCCUCCAGUGUCCUGUUGGCUUUGCUGGUCAAGGUCAAGACUGUGCUCCAGACUCUGACCUUGAUGGCUUCCCAGACACUGAACUGAGCUGUUCGAGCAAAUACUGCCGUAAGGAUAACUGUGUCAACCGACCAAAUUCUGGGCAAGAGGAUGCCGAUGGUGACGGGAUUGGUGAUGCUUGUGAUACUGAUGCUGAUGGAGAUGGACUUCUCGAUACUUCGGAUAACUGUCACUAAUAGCCAACCCUGGGCAACAGAAUGGAGACUCGGAUACACAUGGAGAUGUAUGUGACAACUGCCCUGUAGUCUCCAACCCCAGCCAGAAUGAUGUUGAUGGGGAUGGUGCAGGCGACAAAUGCGACGAUGAUAUUGACAAUGAUGGCUUGCUAAAUACUGCUGACAACUGUCCAAAGACUGCAAAUGCAACCAAGCUGAUGGUGAUGGAGAUGGCUUUGGAGACUUGUGUGACAAUUGCCCCAGCAUACAAUCCUGGGCAAGAAGAUGCAGAUGAAGAUCUACUAGGGAUGCAUGUGAUGAUAACAUCGACUCUGACAGUGAUGGUGUGGAGGACAGUGUGGACAAUUGUCCAAAUGUAGCCAAUGGUGACCAGCAGGACGUAGAUGGUGAUGGGUUAGGUGAUGCCUGUGAUUCAGACAGUGACAACGAUGGUAUUGAUGAUACGACUGAUAACUGCAUUGCCAACCCAAAUGUGCAUGCCACCGAUUUCAGGCAACUCCAAAUGGUGGCACUAGACCCACAAACGGCGUCUACUCCUCCAGUAUGGAUUGUCUACGACAAUGGUGCAGAAAUUCACCAGACUUGAACUCGGACCCAGCUAUAGCAGUGGGUGACCAUACUCUUGUGGAUGUCGACUUUGAAGGGACCUUCUUCAUAGAGGACACCAGUGAUGAUGACUUUGUUGGCUUUAUCUUCAGCUACCAAAGCAAUUCCAAGUUCUAUGUCAUGAUGUGGAAGAAGGGACCACAAAGCUGGUUUGGCCAAGCAGAGAGAGGAGUUACUCUGAAGCUAAUUGACUCUACUACAGGCCCUGGCACAGCACUUCGGGAUGCUUUGUGGCUCACUGGCUCUACAACAAACCAGGCAACCUUGCUCUGGCAUGAUAGCAGCAUUGGAUGGACCCCUAAAGUUGCCUACCGCUGGCUGCUUCACCACCGGCCUGAUAUUGGUACCAUGAGUUCUACUUGUACAGGGUAACAACCAAGUCAUUGACUCUGGAAACAUAUAUGACAGCACCCUAAAAGGAGGCAGGCUAGGUCUCUUCUGCUUCUCCCAGAAGCAAAUUAUAUGGUCCAAUGUGAAGUAUUCUUGUUCAGAUGAUGUACCCCAAGACAUGUUUAAUGACCUGCCCACUAACCUACAGACGCAGGUCCUGACUUCAUAAGGACUUGCUUUUUGCACAAACUGAAGCGUCUUGCACUUGGACACGACGCAUCUUGAAGAUUGGUCUUGAUACUGUAAGACGCUAGUCUAUAUAAAAUUUUAUAUUAAAUAAUUUUAAAUUAAA